GUGCCAGCAGCCGCGGUAAUACGUAGGAUCCAAGCGUUGUCCGGAUUUACUGGGUGUAAAGGGUGCGCAGGCGGACUGGUUAGUCUGGGGUGAAAUCUCAUCGCUUAACGGUGAAACUGCCUUAGAUACUGCCAGUCUUGAAUCAGCGAGAGGUUCGUGGAAUUCCGAGUGUAGCAGUGAAAUGUGUAGAUAUUCGGAAGAACACCAGUGGCGAAGGCAGCGAACUGGCGCUCGAUUGACGCUCAGGCACGAAAGCAUGGGGAUCAAACAGGAUUAGAAACCCCCGUAGUCC
rnacentral:rRNA from 1 species